rnacentral:miRNA from 1 species
CACACAAAUACACACACAUUAAAAAAAAAUAAUACUAGUUUCUUGCCUUCAAGCAGAAGGCAAGAAACUAGUAUCAUUUUUUUUUAAUGUGUGUGUAUUUGUGU